UCGGGCGAACUUUACAAUGCGCGAAAGCGUGAUAAGGGAAUCCUUCGUGCUCUAGUCUUACUAGGGCUUUUGCCAAGGGCAAAAUCCUUGGCGAAUAAGUGGUGGGCAAGACUGGUGCCAGCCGCCGCGGUAACCCCAGCGCCACAAGUGGUACCCAGCUUUAUUUGGUCUAAAGCGUCCGUAGAUGGUAAGUUAAAUUCUCUGUGAAAUCGUGGCGCUCAACGUCACGGCGUGCAGAGAACACUGAUUUACUUGGGACCAGAAGAGGUCAGCAGUAUUCCUUGGGGAGCGGUAAAAUGCUAUAAUCCAAGGAGGACUACCGAUGGCGAAGGCAGCUGACCAGUAUGGAUCCGACAUUGAGGGACGAAAGCUAGGGGAGCGAUCCGG
rnacentral:rRNA from 1 species